GUCUGCAGCCAUGCUAUCCUGAACAAGCCCUAUCCCGUCUGAUCUCAGAAGCUAAGCAGGGUCGGGCCUGGUUAGUACUUGGAUGGGAGACCACCGAGUAAGCAUAAAAAAUAAAAAGGAUGUAGGCA
rnacentral:rRNA from 1 species